AUUGAACGCUGGCGGCAGGCCUAACACAUGCAAGUCGAGCGGUGCGGGGGACGGGCGAGUAAGGCCUAGGUAUCUGCCUGGUAGUUGGGGAUAGCGUCACGUACCGGGCGCUAAUCCCCUAUCCUAUUAGCUGAGCCUAGGUCGGAUUAGCUAGUUGGUGGGGUAAAGGCCUACUAAGGCGACUAUCCGUAACUGGUCUGAGAGGAUGAUCGUUCACACUGGAACUGAGACACGGUCCAGACUCCUACGGGAGGCAGCAGUGGGGAAUAUUGGGCAAUGGGCGAAAGCCUGAUCCAGCCAUGCCGCGUGUGUGAAGAAGGUCUUCGGAUUGUAAAGCACUUUAAGUAGGGAGGCGUUACCAACAGAAUAAGCACCGGCUAACUUCGUGCCAGCAGCCGCGGUAAUUC
rnacentral:rRNA from 1 species